UAGGGAAUCUUCCACAAUGGACGAAAGUCUGAUGGAGCAACGCCGCGUGAGUGAAGAAGGUUUCCGGAUCGUAAAGCUCUGUUGUUGGUGAAGAAGGAUAGAGGCAGUAACUGGUCUUUAUUUGACGGUAAUCAACCAGAAAGUCACGGCUAACUACGUGCCAA
rnacentral:rRNA from 1 species